UACGUAGGGGGCUAGCGUUGUCCGGAAUCAUUGGGCGUAAAGCGCGUGUAGGCGGUCCGGUAAGUCCGCUGUGAAAGUCGGGGGCUCAACCCUCGGAUGCCGGUGGAUACUGUCGGGCUUGAGUACGGAAGAGGCGAGUGGAAUUCCUGGUGUAGCGGUGAAAUGCGUAGAGAUCGGGAGGAACAUCAGUUGCGAAGGCGGCUCUCUGGACCAGCACUGACACUGAGGCACGAAAGCGUGGGGAGCAAACAGG
rnacentral:rRNA from 1 species